rnacentral:rRNA from 1 species
GUGGGGAAUUGUUCACAAUGGGCGCAAGCCUGAUGACGCAACGCCGCGUGGAGGAUGAAGGUCUUCGGAUUGUAAACUCCUGUUGCCCGGGACGAAAAGCUUCGACCUAACACGUCGAGGUCUGACGGUACCGGGUGAGGAAGCCCCGGCUAACUCUGUGCCAGCAGCCGCGGUAAUACAGAGGGGGCAAGCGUUGUUCGGAAUUACUGGGCGUAAAGGGCGCGUAGGCGGCCCGCUAAGUCGAACGUGAAAUCCCUGGGCUCAACCCAGGAACUGCGUCCGAUACUGGCAGGCUUGAAUCCGGGAGAGGGAUGCGGAAUUCCAGGUGUAGCGGUGAAAUGCGUAGAUAUCUGGAGGAACACCGGUGGCGAAGGCGGCAUCCUGGACCGGCAUUGACGCUGAGGCGCGAAAGCCAGGGGAGCAAACGGGAUUAGAAACCCGUGUAGUCC